rfam:Ixodes scapularis strain Wikel colony gcontig_1107728598628, whole genome shotgun sequence.
UAAACGGCCCUUUUUAGGGCCCCCAUAUUUUGCAAAUGGAGCUGU